rnacentral:rRNA from 1 species
GGGGAAUAUUGCGCAAUGGGGGAAACCCUGACGCAGCAACGCCGCGUGAAGGAUGAAGGUUUUCGGAUCGUAAACUUCUUUGAUGAGGGACGAACAAAUGAAGGUACCUCAAAAACAAGCCACGGCUAACUACGUGCCAGCAGCCGCGGUAAUACGUAGGUUGCGAGCGUUGUCCGGAAUUACUGGGUGUAAAGGGCGUGUAGGCGGGAAUGCAAGUCAGAUGUGAAAUACCGGGGCUUAACUCCGGGGCUGCAUCUGAAACUGUGUUUCUUGAGUGUCGGAGAGGAAAGUGGAAUUCCCAGUGUAGCGGUGAAAUGCGUAGAUAUUGGGAGGAACACCAGUGGCGAAGGCGACUUUCUGGACGAUAACUGACGCUGAGGCGCGAAAGCGUGGGGAGCAAAC